ACUAUUAUUCGUUCGCUCCAGAUUUUUCAUUUUUAUCCUGCUUACAAUUUAUCCUUCGUCUCGUUUUGCGAUGGCCUCCGCCGAGAUCGCGGAGAUUGAGUUCCGAUAGUUCGGCGGUGAGCUCCUCUGGACCACCGACAAUGAGGCACUGGAGAGGGCCUUUUCCUCCUCCUGUGAAAGAUAUCGAAUCGAAGAUCAUCGAGGACGGUCAGAUCGGUAGGUCGAGGUGCUUCGGAUUCGUUACCAGCAACAUGCGAAUGCGAUCCAAGGAGGCCAGAACCUUGAUUUGAGGACAUCUGGUCUUUUUGGUUGUGGUGCCCUUGCUCAUGUUGGUGUGAUGGACUUGCAGUGGUUCCCACGAAUGUACCAUAGGUGACCAUGGGAACAACAUGGGAGGCAACCUCACCACUAGCUUUCCAGAUCACGAUGACCUAUUUGCACCAUUACACCUUUUGUAGUUAUUAAAGAAUUCGCACUGCCAGACAAAUAAUUUAACUAGUGGUUUCUCACUGAAUCAGGUAAAUUGCUUGUUCCUCUAUUAUUUUUGGCCUGCUUUCAAUUGUGACGUUUGAAAACUGAGUUUCGCC